CUCAGUGAGCUUGAGAGUCUUGCCCCACCCCCAAAAGAUACAAUCCCGGAAGUCAAAUUCUGAGUGUUCUGAGGUUGAGGAUUAGAGAUACUCCGGGACUUCUCUACCCCUAAAAAAGAAAAGACAUUGCACUACGGAGGAUCGUCAUUGGAUCCAGGCAUUAAGAAGAGUUCCAGUCAUCUUGAGAGAGCACCAUAAAAGGAAGAAGUGGAUGCUAGCCAUGAUGAAUUGGGAUGAAGAAUUCUCUCCUGGAGACCCAAAGGGAAAUAGGAAAAUUGGUUUGUCAAAGGAGAACUAGCUGGCAUCCUUUGCCUUCCAGUCACUAUGUGCUGAGAAAGUUUAUUCCUUAGCUGACAUCUUGACUAUGACACUCUGAAAGACUGGAUAGGCAAACUAGCUAUUCAGAAAAAGUUCUGGAAGUAACUGUUUAAAAGAAACUGAUUUGUUGUAGUUGAGGUAGAAUCAAACAAGGAACUGGAAUGGAAAGUCCCAGUCUCAGAAUCACAGAGUGUGAAUUUUGUCAAGGCUUCCUCUUCUCUUAUCCUGCAAUAUACAAAACUUAUAAGCAAGAUGUUCUGUAAAGACAUUCAAGUGGAGUGUGCAGGGUGCACAUAAUAGUUAAUGAAGAUCAAUAAAGAAGGACCUUUCUUCAAAGGUUAGUUUUAUUAAUAAACAAUAAUAAUGUCUUUUUGCCAUGUGAAGGAUGGCAUAAACGAAACUUUACCAUUCCUGUUUGACUUUCUCAAACUUUUAUAGUUCUUCAGGGGGUCUCACCCUAUUAUAUCAGAUCCAUAUCACUCUGGAUGAGAUCAAGAGCCUCUUUUCCUUCCAUGUCAACACAAAGUAUUUUCUCCCAAAAUAGUAUAUCUUUCGUCCAAUAGCUGGAAAUCAUUAAGCAUGUAGCUUGACCUCUCUUCCAGAGGAAUUUUAAUAAAAUCACCAAACUCAAAAUCACACUCUUUUUGAUAAUGAAAACAAUUCAAAGCAAUUAAAACCAUCUAAACAAA